AUAAUAAUAAUUAGGACCACUUUACACACUGGAUGCUCAAAGCUAUUUCCAAAAAAGAAAAUGAAAGGGUACGCGAGAGAACAUUAAUUAGUAAAUUCUACCUUAGAGUUGUAUUUAAACCAUGUCUAUAAACAUACAUGUCUUAAGUUUUACGCUACUGCAUGCUAUUCUACUAAAUCAUUUCAUUGUGUGGUACUAACCAGAACAAUGGCAUGCAUGAAGGCUCAAAGGCCUCCAUUAUGGAUUAUUAUAUUUUUUGGGACUGAACCCAAUUAUGGCAUUCAGCUUUAUUGUUCAGCCUCACCCUUUUCCAAAAAUUAAAGCAUAUUAGUCAAGUGCAGGCCAAAAGGUUCCUGUCACAAUUGUAGGGAGAAAAGCAAGUCUGCGUUUUCGCAUUGCAGUCUCGUUGCUCUCUUGAACAGGCCCUGUCAAUGUCACACUAAUUUUAGGACAUUUCCUCUGUCCUUAGUGACAGCUGUCACCACGACAUUUGCUUCUUGCUCCUGCGAUACUUUUUCACCCCCUUGAGUCAGCUUGGGGAAAUGACAGGAGGUAACAGAUUUCUUUGUUGAAAAGGUGAAGUGGCAAAGAGCAUGAAUGGUGGAGAGAAAUCUAGCUGUGUGUUGCAUAUGAAGACUGCAAUAUGAGGCUGUGGACCGUCUAUUUGAAAAGUACUUCUCAGUCAUUCAAACUGGGUUGUUCAUCCUCUCUGUGUUGCACACGUGCAGCCACAAGGACAUGUCCCGCAAACAGAAAAUGUGCAGGAACCUUCUGGAAACUGCGGGGAGGUACUGUAACUAGCAGAGGAAAUGAGAGGCUGCUGCAGUUUCUACAAACUCAGAGCUGAUGAGGAACUGCGAGUGACGGAACCACGGUA